rnacentral:lncRNA from 1 species
CCGAAAACAGCCUGAAGUGCGACACUUCCCGCUGUUAGUCUCACUCAAUGGAAAUCACUUCCUUAUUCGCACUACUGAAGACGGAGACCCUGAGCACGAUAUUGUCCCUAUCGAGGAGCUCGAACAUGCAGACAUCUCCUUCGCGCAGGUGAGCUUCUCUUGCCAACGCGGACCAACCGAUCCCCAAGAUGGCGAUGUGUAAGUGCCGAUAGACCAGGAGUUUCACCUCAAACGAUCGGCCCAAAUAAACAACAUUCACCAUUUGAUGGUCUUUCUGAAUGUAUGUCUUUAUGAACUGCCAUGGAAUGGUCUGCUCACAUGUUUGAUGACGAACCAAUGUGUGAUAAGAAACGGGCAUGAUAUAAGCAUGCAAAUUCAAGAGCGAAGCAUAGAAGAUUUAGAUAAGUAAGACCUCUGGCUUACCACGGUUUGUCUUUCAAUUUGAUAUGGCAAUAUCACGACAUUGCAAAAUGGAUACUCCGAUUCAAAUUCGCAAGCUCUUUCAUGAGCAAUGACAGGGCUCAGGCAUGGAGAAGUGUGGAAAGCUGACUCCGAAGGGUGCUCUUGGCAUUGAGAUUGUUCGGUUUGGAUCUGACCUGCAAUACAAAGAGGCGAAUUCUUGUAAGCACAAGUAUGAACUUUUCAUGAAUUGACCAUGAAAGGAUUUAGCAUGGAUUGCAAAUCAUUAUGCAGGGUCGUUUUCAUGCUCUUCCUAGAAGAUGUAAUCAAGUAGAUUUUGCACUUCCCGAAUAAUUAUCCCGUAAUAGGUUUUUUAGGAUUGGAAAACAGAUUAAGAAUAGAAAGUACAUAAGCAGAAACAUUUCUUACGCCGGCGGCGACGGGCGGCGGCGGCCGGACUGACACCUGCAAAUUUAGAUGCGAAUGUGACGUCAUCAGCAAGUGUGCAUUUGAAUUAUUACAAACCUCACAAACCAUACAGAAGAAUUCAUCAUCUCGGAAGGCUCAUAACUUAAAGAAAAAAAGGGAUAAAAAAGUGCACUUUAAAUGGAUUCAUCACUGCUGAACUGAACAAAGGAGUGGUAAUUUGGGAUACUGAGUUCCUCAGUGAUUUACACGGCAUACAAUGAAACCUCUAGUGUUCAUCUCAAUCGACAUAGAUCAGGUUCUUACCAUCACUGCGGAAAAUGGAGACUCUGAAGACAAUGUCAUCCCUAUCAAUGAGCUCGAACACACAGCAAUCUCCUACAAGGAGACCAGUUUCUCUUGAGAAUGAGGACCAACCAAAUGAGAGACAUGCUGUAUGUUCAUAGCUCCUUAGCUUCACCUGCCAUGAUCUGUCUGAGUACCUAAGAGUUGCGAUUUGCUUGUUCUUUUGAACAUGCUUGAUGAAGAAGUCACGAGGGAUGGUCUGCCAAUAGGUGUUAGAACAACCGGUAUACGAUUAACGAAGGUGAUACAGUAAGGAUACAUGAUAUGUGAAUUUAUGAUAAAAUUUCUAGUUUCAGGAGUUUUAAUCAACUGAUUUUACUUGCUAAUGGAAGUCAUCAAUCGUAACCACUUAACCUGCAAUUUUGCGUCUAAUAUAUGCUCCUGGGCUAAAGCUGAAGCCAUCAAUUUGGAGCCAAGUUAUAGAUAGGAUUUGCAUCUCAAUUUGACUCCUACCAUGAACACUACAAGGAAAAUAACAUGCCAUCUGGUUUCCUACACAAACUAAUUCGACUUGGCAAACACUAUAAUAUAUGACAAAAUACAAACAGUGAUCAAAUUUGAAUUCGACCUAUACCACCAACAAAUAGAGCUCAGGAUCUUACCAAAGAUUUCCGAACAUAAGAAGGCUGUACCACCACCUUGAAAAAGGGAUGGUCCGAUUUGAAUUCGCUGGCUAAUUCAAAAGCAGCGAGAUGACUUGGAACUGCAGAACCAUGAAAAACCAGCUCAAGAUGACUUACUCUACAUUGAAACUGCUUGAUUUCGUCUGCACUUGUGAAAUGAGAACUGCACUAGAUUUUAUCAAUUAACUGACUAUGACAUUUGCAUCGAUGGAAAAAAUAAUAUGAUCUAUAGUUUCAAGAUAAAGAUAACUUGAUGUAGUAAAUUCAUCAUCACCUUCCAAUUAGAAGUAAAUAAUUAACUAAAAUUUCCACAGACUUUAUCAAUUACAUAUAAAAAUAGCUUAUCAAAAAGUUUGGAAGAAAAUGAAAACGACAAGAACUGAGGAAAGAGAGUUAUGCCAAGAAGGAACAUGGCGCAGAACACAAGUCACACCUCCAUAUUCUCGAGACGACCUGUAUGAACUUGGCUGUGAACAAGGCAUGGAACCCUCUGAAUCUUCGAUUUCCAUGACAUCUUCCUCUUUUCGCGAGAUGAAUUCCUCCUCAGGGUUUGACAUAUCGCUUUCGAUGCUCGAUGGAUAAUCAAUCUCCGAAGCACUCUUAUCGAAUAUUAUCACGUGGAAAACGGAGUCCCCUUCGUACUUGAAGACUAGGAGGUGACCAUGACCAAUCGAAUAAUGCUCCAUGAAACCUCGCCACCCUUUCCACAACCAAACCUUGCCAUCGUCACUCUUUUCUAGUUUCACCGGCCAGGUCGAACCACCCGGAACCUUGAGAAGCACCAAACCCGAGAGGUCUUUCCCAUAUCUUCUCAAGAAGCUUUUUGGGAUUCCCUGUGAUGAAAAUUUAUGGUAAACCCAUUGCCCUCAUGUAUAGCUAAAUUCAAAGAUGCGAACUAAGAAAAACAGGAAACUUUCACAUUCUACCCUGUAGAUGAACGAUCAAUUUCCACAGACAAUGCCGUCACUAUACAAGUGCGGAGUUCAAUUAUCCAAUAAACGUUCAUUUCCGCAAUAAUAAUGUCCAGAAAUGGUAGCUACGCUAAAGCCAAAUCGCCAAACUAGCAUACUAAUCAAACGCUCAUUUUCAAUUUCCCCUUUUUUUGCAAGAAUUGAACAGUUCUUCGUUGCAAAACCAGAGACAUCCAUGACGAACCAGCACGAGCUGCGAGAGGCGGAGGGCAAGAUCGCAAAUGUCGCGAAAAUGAAUGAUGGGUAUGGAGCGAAACGGGAAGUGCGGACGAACUAACAAGCUUUCCGGAUUCGAGCGCGCGGGAGAGCACGAUCUUGAAGAAAUGAGGACUGCUCGGCGGGCUACCGGGAUCCAUCUCCGGCUCGGCACCUCCGCCUUCUCUCCGGCGACGGUGGCGGCUCUGGCGACCCAUGACCGAUCCCCGGCGACCGUGGCUGGCCGACGGACUGACUGCUGAAGAAGGGGAGAGGAGGAAUGGCAGGUUCAAGGAAGCGUGCGCUUUUGUCUUGUACUGUCGGCUUCAGAAAUGGCUUCUCUUCUGGUCUGGUGCCUUUCCUUUCGAGUGCAAAAAUCACAAAAAUAGAAAAAACUCAAACCAUUUCCGACAUGUUUUUCCUAAAUUUGUUUUUGCGCCGUACAACUAAUCUUAAAAUUAUAUCUAUGUGACAUAUUUAGUCUCUGUCAAGGUUUCAUCAAUAAGUACUGUUAAAAAUAGGUCAUAUAUGUAUAAAUGUGAGAAUUUUUAUGUUAUAAGAAAAAAAAACUAGAUAAAUGUGUCAUGAUAGACAUAAUUUGAGAUUUUUGAUGUAAAAAAAAAGUUUAGAUUAAAUGAGUUAUAGUUGGCAUAAUUAAAAUUAAAAAUUUUAAAUUUUUUUGCUGAUGUGGUACUUACAAACCACAGAAAUUUUUUUCUCUAAUAUUAGUGUGUUAGUUGCAUUGGCCAACUUGGUUUUAGCCGAUAGCCUAAGCCACUCCUUAUCUUGGUGCACCUUCUCGAUGUAUUGCUAUGUUAAGAAAGAUCGACACACCCUCUUGGACUUCGUGCCUCCGCAAACGCUUUGAAUAUACUAAUAAGCACAAACAUGUGUCCAUUUCGAAUCGAACGGGAAAAACUUCGAGCUAUAAUUAACAUAAUUAACCAGCAGCAAAACAAACGUAAUAGUAGUACUGUAUCCUCUUAUGUGUUGAAAAGAAUUUGGUUUUCGCAAUAAAUGCGUCUCUUUUGAUCAGCAAUCGUGAUAAUGGAAGUGUCUAAAUAUGGCGAAAUGGGACUGUUUUAGCAACGGCGACAAAAUUAGCCUUUUCUAGUCUUUUCCUUCUGGGAAAUUGAUCUUGUAUAUGACAAUGGGUUCUACUUUGACCCAUGACCUAUGAGCAUGAAUGUAAUCAUGUAAGUGCUAGUCUCAUUUUAAAUAUGGGGAUUUGACUUAAUUGACCAUCCAUAUCAUGGGAGUAGAUCUAACAUAAAUGGAUCAUAUAUGAAUCAUUUAAAUUUGGAAGAGCCUAUUUAAAAUGUAUUUUAAAUUUCAAAGCUGAAAUAAAUGGGUUUAAAUGGUGAGUUUAGAACUCAUUUUCAAUCCACUAGGAUCAACCACACUCUCCCUCCUUCUUUAGCCUUACAAUUAAAAAAAAAAAUCGAAUUUUAUUUUUAUUUUUUCUUUUCUCCUUCUUUUUUCUUCCAUCUUCCUUGGCCGGUGGUUGGCCACAGCAAUGAUGACAGCGAGGGUUAGCCAGGCGAGGGACAAGCUCACCAAUCAAGUGAGGCUGAGGCCUUGUUAAGGUCUAACACAAGUGAGGCCUGAGCUUGCUUGUUUGGCGAGGCUGAGACCUCGCUGAUGUUUGGCCAAUCGUCAUAGUGGCUAGUGGUUAGUCAAAGAAGAAUGGGAAACAAAAAAGAAAGAAUAAUUUAAAAAUAAUUUUUUAAAUAAAUAAAUAAUUUUUUUAUAAAAUAAAAAAGUAAAGGUUAAAAUUAUCAAAAGGAGUGUACAAAGGAAAAUCAAAUUAGGUUUUUCAUACAAAAUGAUAGAAAAUAUUUUUUGAUUUAUUUUAAAAAUUUAGGCAAAUACGAAAAAUAUUUUUAUUUUCCUAGAAAAUAACUUCCUAAAAAAAAUUUCAAAAAAAAAAUAGAGCCUCGCUCUUCUUCUUUUUUUAAAUUAUAAAAAUCCCACUAGAUUAGUAUUGAAUAAAAGUGUUUUAGCAAUACGAUUUUAAAAAAAAUUAAGAAACAAGCUUUUCUAGAUUUUGGAGUAUUUUAGUAAUAUAUAUAUAUAUUAUUUUUUUUUAACAUAAGAAUAAGUUUUCCAAAAUUGAGUUAAUAUGGAAAUAUUUUAACAAUACAAGUCAAGUUAGAUAUGAGUUAAGUAUAGAUAUAGGUCGGGUUAGGUAUAGAUAAGAAAAUUUAAAUUAUGCAUAAUUGGGUCAUAAAUAGAUUAAUGGAUUAAUUUGGUCGAACCAUUUAUGAUCCGACCCAAACCAAUCUCACCACUCAUUUUGCAGGUCUACAUGGGAGAUUCAGAUGGAAAGAUAGGCUCGCGUGGGCAGGGUUGAUGGUACGUUUUGAGUCCGAACCGUUCGGCAAUUGUCGGGUCAAGCGUGGUCACAAAUUCCAAGCCCCAUCUUGGCACCUCGCCCUGGGAAGAGGAGGCCCUUCUACUAGGAGAGCUUGGGACCAGGGAUACGUUUGGAUGUUCGGCUUCGGUCGACUUCGCAGUCGUCUACCAGCAAAGCUGGGCUUUGAUUGACUCAAGCCCGCACUGCCUGCCCAUUGAUUAAGUCCAGCAUCAAAGCAUGGAAAUUCAUAGCAAGUAUUUUUGCCCCUUUCUCAGUGAAUUGUUGAUGGUGAAAUCAGGGUAAGCAACCCAUAUGAUGGAGGAGGAGUUACAUUAAGAGCCAAAAGGCUUCUGCAAGGUUUGAGAGAGAGAGCUUGCUUCGGGCAAGUACCGAAUGUAAAUGAACUAUUUUAGAGGUGAUCAGUUCUAAGGUGGGUCUUCCAAAGUUAAAAUCUGAAACCUACCAUGUUAUAACCGGUUUCCAAUUUUUGGACCUCGAACUUAUCGUAUUUGCCUGGAACUGAUUUUGACACCUAUAUUGUUUUUCUAGUCUGAUUCUAGAAUCUAUUCAAGAAUCUGUUUGAUUUUUUAUCCCUAUUUUUUGUUCAUUUUUUACAACAAAAUCAUAUGAGGCUAUAAGUAAAGAAAUGAUUUAAAGUAAAAGAUGAAUAAUGGAAAUCAUAAUCUAUCAAAAAUAACAAUUCAUAAGAUGAAUACGUAAUAGCCGCAUACAAUUAUAAAAGAUAAAAAGUUCAAACACAUAACGUAAAACAUUAAUUAUAAAAAUUCAUUCCCCAUUCAUCACUAAAAAUGUAGGUAAAGAAGAAGACUCGCGAGGAAUUCUAAGAAAGGACAAAUGAUGAAAGAGUGCUGAUGUUAAAAUUUAGGGAAAAAAGAAAUUAGAAUUUUGGCUUUUUAAUUGAUAAAACCGGUUUCAAAAUAAGGCGAUCCAGUCUAGUUCCCAUACGAGUAUUCAUUCGAAACUUGCUUUCGGACCAGUUAUAAUCGUUUGUAAGAUAGAACUAGUUUACUUGCACACCCCUAUUUAGCAUCGCAAAUGCACGUUUCUGAUUAUGAAAGACAGAGUAAUCAUAUGCAUCAUCUAUCUACGGAAUAAUCUAUCUCAGAAGCAAUUUUAUCGAAUAUUAUCACACGAAAAGUGGAGUCCCCUUUCGUAUUUGAAGACUAUGAGGUGACCGUGCCCAACCGAGUAAUGUUCCAUAAAUUCCCGCCACCCCUUCUGCAGCCAAACUGUGCCGUUGUUGCACUUCUUUAGUUCUAUAGGCCAAGUUGAACCAAGUGGGACCUUGAGAAACGCCAAACUCGAAAGAUGGUUUCCAUAUUUCCUCAAGAACCUUCGUGGAAUUCCCUGUUAUAUGAUGAGCUUCAGGGGUCAUCUCGAGGCCCUCGUUCAUCAUGCAAAAGGAACUUGCAAAAAGCUAAGAAAUGUUCCGUUCUACGGAUUCGAACGAAAGAUCGAUUACCAUGGACAUAAAGCUUGAAAUACAAAGCAUUAUAUGGAACAUAAGGGGUCAAAUCACUUAUGACUACAUUUAACGAAGUGUGCUCUCAUCUGAUUUUCACAUGAACCCCAAGCUUACACCGUACCCACGACAUAGUGAGAAGACAUCUCAUGCAUGCAGUCCACUCAAAGCAGGAUCACUAGCUAUUUCUCCUCCCAAAACCAAGGAAACAUUCUUGGAUGAACAGAAAGUGUGUGAAAUUACGAGAAGUGAAGCCAUGCAAAGUGUGUGAAAUUUCGAGAAGUGAAGCCAUGCAUGCAAUGUAAAAUGGAACAUUGGCAAGAGAUGGUGGAGGCAAAGUUGAGAAUGAGUUUGAACUCACAAGCUUUCCAGAAUCAAAGUGUGUCGGAGAGUAUGAUCUUGAAGAAGUGAGGGCCAGCACGUUCACCCUCUCUCUCGCGGCAGCAACAACGGCAGCAAGCCAUGCAGCAGCGACACUGAAAGCUCAAAGAAGAAGAUGAAGGAGGGGGAGGGUGAUGAUGAGGAGAAUGACGGUGGUUUUGGGUUUCUACACGAGCCUGUUGAAAUGGCUUGCGUGGCCUUUGUUCUUGACAUGACUGUUUAUGAAAGUGUUGAUGUGAAGUAAUGGAUAUGGACACGUUGCUUUGUUAUUUAUGCUCGAGUAGCUCGACGACAGUAACAAUUUAUUAAACUUUCCCGGGCAAAAAAAUUACUAAUUUUGCUCUAAGAGAACGAUAGAAUGUAAUAUUUCGUACUUGACAUUUUUUUCGAUUACAUAAUCAUUUUUAUGUAAAAUGAUUGCGGUGAUGCUUCUAAAGCAUCACACAAGCUGCCUUUCCUUCUUUUCUUUCUUCUUGCCCUGUUUUUCUUCUAGCCCAUCCAUGAACUGCUCUCAUGAACGUUCUGAUUCAAGUAGAUUUUACAUUCACCUGAUUUGCAGUUCCCGGGAAACAAAGAAGAUUUAUGCGAGCAAGCAGAAGUGAGCUUCUUCCAUGAUUUUAAAUCAAAGUAUUAGAUAAAAGGAAGCACGAACUAGUAGUGUUCAGUAGUUCGUUUCUCGACUUCCUCUCAGCGCCGAAAACAGCCUAAAGUGACACUUUCCGCUGUUAGUCUCACUCAAUGCAAAUCACUUCCUUAUUCGCACUACUGAAGACGGAGACCCUGAGCACGAUAUUGUCCCUAUCGAGGAGCUCGAACAUGCAGACAUCUCCUUUGCGCAGGUGAGCUUCUCUUGCCAACGCGGACCAACCGACCCCCAAGAAGGCAAUGUAUAAGUGCCGAUAGACCCGGAGAUUCACCUCAAACGAUCGGCCCAAAUAAACAACAUUCACCAUUUGAUGGUCUUUCUGAAUGUAUGUCUUUAUGAAC